rnacentral:rRNA from 1 species
GCUGGUUGGCUACGUACGGAAGGGAUAACCGCUGAAAGCAUCUAAGCGGGAAGCCUGUUUUAAGAUGAGGUUUCGUAUUUGAGGUCCCCCAAAGACGAUGGGGUUGAUAGGCCAGACCUGGAAGCACUGUAAAGUGUGGAGGCUACUGGUACUAAUAGACCAAAACAAACACACACA